GAUGAACGCUGGCGGCGUGCUUAACACAUGCAAGUCGAGCGAGAAGUUUUGAAAAGAUUCUUCGGAUGAAAUUUAAAAUGGAAAGCGGCGGACGGGUGAGUAACGCGUAGGCAACCUGCCCCAUACAAAGGGAUAGCAUUUGGAAACGAAUAUUAAUACCUUAUGAAACUUAACUAGUGCAUGCUAGGUAGGUCAAAGAUUUAUCGGUAUGGGAUGGGCCUGCGUCUGAUUAGCUAGUUGGUGAGGUAACGGCUCACCAAGGCGACGAUCAGUAGCCGACCUGAGAGGGUGAACGGCCACAUUGGAACUGAGACACGGUCCAAACUCCUACGGGAGGCAGCAGUGGGGAAUAUUGCACAAUGGGGAAACCCUGAUGCAGCAACGCCGCGUGAACGAUGAAGGCCUUUGGGUCGUAAAGUUCUGUUCUAGGUGAUGAAAACUGACAGUAACCUAGGAGAAAGCCCCGGCUAACUCCGUG
rnacentral:rRNA from 1 species